rnacentral:rRNA from 1 species
AGAGUUUGAUCAUGGCUCAGGACGAACGCUGGCGGCGUGCUUAACACAUGCAAGUGGUGCGACGAACCAGGCUUCGGCCUGGGGCAGAGCCGCGAACGGGUGAGUAACACGUGGGUAACCUGCCCCGAUGACCGGGACAACCCGGGGAAACCCGGGCUAAUACCGGAUGAGCUCUCCGCCCUUCCGGGCGGUGAGGAAAGGUAGCUUCGGCCUCCGCAUCGGGAUGGGCCCGCGGCCCAUUAGCUUGUUGGUGUGGUAACGGCUCACCAAGGCAACGAUGGGUAGCUGGUCUGAGAGGACGAUCAGCCACACUGGGACUGAGACACGGCCCAGACUCCUACGGGAGGCAGCAGUGGGGAAUCUUGCGCAAUGCGCGAAAGCGUGACGCAGCAACGCCGCGUGGGGGAAGAAGGCCUUCGGGUUGUAAACCCCUUUCAGUUGGGACGAAGCCUUCCCUGGUUAAGAGCUGGGGGGGUGACGGUACCUUCAGAGAAGCCCCGGCUACUACGUGCCAGCAGCCGCGGUA